GGGAUUAUGGUUCAGUGGCAGAGCGCUUGCCUUGCAAGUAUGAGGCACUGGGUUUGAUCCCCAGCACCA
rnacentral:tRNA from 1 species